UCCUAAUAGCUUAGUUGGUAAAGAAUCUGCCUGCAAUUCAGGAGACCCUGGUUCGAUUCUUGGGUUGGGAA
rnacentral:tRNA from 1 species